GGAAUCACACCAGAAGAUAUUUAUAUCAGUUUCCAAACACCACAAUUAAAAACACCAUCCCCAUCCCACACCACGCAAUCGUUCACAAAUCCAACAGCUAUUAAUAUUCUGCCUUGUAAAUGAAAAUUGUUUACCAGGACAAUAUUGCAUACAUUUGUUUGCCUUAUAUUGCCUAAAAGAGAACUUACGGAUAACAAGGCAACAUGAUGGAAGUUCAAAUCGGCAAUAACGUAAACAAAAGGAAAACGCGAGUGUUCACAAUGAGAGAGAGAGAGAACUGGACAAAGGACAAAGCUCAAAAACACAGAUACACAUUUAUAAGGGCAGUUUCUUUAGUUUGCGCCAUCUUUAUAUACAUUGUCUGCUCAGACCAUCAAUGCACACAAGAUGUGUGAAAGGAGUUGCAUAAACUCCACAAUACAAUAUGACCAAUCUUUAAAUAAGCUCUUCAGCUUUCUAGUAAACAAUACCUGCUCAAAGUGCCAUCU
rnacentral:misc_RNA from 1 species